AAAGAAAAAAUAAGAAAUCUUAAAGAAAUAUUAGAAUGAUUACAAAUAUAUCUCAAAUACAUCUCAAUUCAAUCUUAAUUUAAUCCUAGUAGAAUUCUUAUUGGAUUUCAUUCAAAUUUUAGGCCAAAAACUAAUUAAAUCUUAAAUCCUAAAAAAACUCAAAUAAAAUCCUAAAUCCUAAAUCAAAUCCUAACAAAAUCCUAACCAAACCUUAAAUCCUAAACCAAAUCCUAAAUCCUAAACCAAAUCCUAAACCCUAACCAAAUCAAAACCCUAAACCAAAUCCUAAAUCCUAACCAAAUC
rnacentral:lncRNA from 1 species